CGGGUUUGGACUUGUCACUGAAGCCCUGGCUGCGGCGGUUGCCUGCGGAGCUGAUGGACCCACGAGGAGAGCUCUCACUGCCCGCAGUGGCCAUCCUGGACGUGGGGGCGGGGAGUCUGGAAGGGUGCGAGGGAGAGCAGCUUACCUUCCGCAGACAGACCCUGUAUGUUCACACCUUUGGCCGCCAGAAAACUCAAACAGGUAUCGAUGUUCUCGAGCUGGAGAGGUGAACAGAGGAGAGGAGAGGGUCGGGUUUAGACACCGCAAAAACUUCUGCCUUCGCUCACACAAAAGUCACUCUAGGCAAAGGAAGAGAGAUAUUCCCUGGAAAGUCACAACCAAUUCAUCACAGAAAUCCACAGCAGAUGACCUGAUUGGCUCUGAACUGUGUCUGACCUACGAGGCCUCAAGUCAACAAAGUUUCCUUAUAGUGAAAAGAGGCUUUUCAAAAUAUGACAGAUAAAAAAAAAAUAUAUUAAAAGAUGCGCUCUCUAAAACAAUCCAAAGGGAUGUCAGAUGGCAUAAUGUCUAUGUUUGUCAUAUAUUGACUGUGGGGUUAGUAGGAUUCAUAUUGUGUUUUAUAUGGCCUAUCAAAAAGCCCUGCGUGACCAGGAUGGGGCAGUCAAAGCAGCAUUCAAAAGAGCCAGACGUAUUCCCUGGGCAUUCUGUCUGCCCGGUUGCUAGGAGACGACUUCAGGUUACAAUGCUGUCAUUCAGCUGUCGCCAAGGAGCUGUCCUGAUUGGCUGACAGCAGGGUUUGACAAAAAAUAAAUAAGCACUAGAAAAACACCAUAUCUGGAGGUCAUGUUUCAGCCAAUGAAUACCCAUUUGGCUUGGUGCUGCCAGGUGAAACAAACAGGACUGACGAACCCAUGUGUCAAUAUCAGCUAAAUUAAAUACACAUUAAUUAAAACUUGCCUACAGUCUGGAUCCCUAGUGGACAAAGGACUAUCCUAGAACAAAUAGCAGCACAGUGCACACAUGCA